UGAGCUCGUGGAGAGUAGCGGAUCUUUGACAUGCCACGUCAUCGACAUCCAAUAACACGAAAAGAGAGAGUGAGUACUCAGUGACUAACUAACGGUAACUGAACCAAGACGGGAAGGACCGUGCCACUUCUCUCUCUCUAUCUCUUCGAAUUGUGAAGCUCUGCAAAUCGGAUAUCCAAAAUUAACAAAAUUAAAAUAAAAAACCCCAAAAAAAAAAAAGAGAGGUUGGAACUGAAGCCUAGGAAUAUGGGCGAGCGACAGGAUUGAAUUUUUCGGAGUCCUCUGAGAUGAAUCUCUCUCUGACAUCAUCUAUUUCGUCAUCUUCGUCCUCAGCUUCUUCUUCGUCGACAGGUUCGUGGCUAUCCGGCAUUGUUCUGGGCCUGUCCAACGGCUUCGCCAGUGCCAAGAUGCCUAGCAAGACCGUUUCCGUCGGUCGUGCCGGUGGUGACUUUUCCGGCCCGGUUGUACGGAAGAAUCAGUUCCGAGAAUCGCUGUUCAAGUAUGGACCCAAACCCAUUCAGAUACUUGGAGCCUCUUGCAAUUGCCCUGGAUCAAGCAAAAUGGUCACUUGUUCAACUACUCAUGUCCUCUUCGCAUACUGGAUUUGGAACCUCCAGCUUGCGACAGGUAACAUAUGUAUCUCUAUUACAUGUAAAUUAUAUGUUGAUAUCUGUUGUUGCACCUGUUGUAGAAUUUCACAAUGUAUAGGCUUUCUAGAAUUAUUAUUUUGUUUAGACACAUCCCCUUGUUUGUCUAGCAAGACUCUAUUAUAGACUUUCCUUUUCAUAUGGACAAGACAGAAAAAAGAUCAGUUCCCAGUUUUUAAACUUACCAUAACUCCCAACUCACACUGGCAAUCACGUCUUCUGAGGGAAGGCAGAUGGUAUGAGAUAUAAUUAAACAUCAAGGAGGAGAUAUCAGAUGCCUUAAUUGGGAAACCUUAGCAUGCACCACCUGGUAGUUAUUGUCUUACAAUAUCCGGUUGCUUAUUUGCUGAAUGUUAAAUAUUUUGACAGCUGAUUGGUCAUCAUUUAUGUUUUCUGGUUUCUGAUUUUAACGGUGCUGCAUUGAACUGAGUAUGAUGUAUCAGCCUUCAACCUACAAUCUUUUUGGUUCGCCUUUUGGUGUGCAUAAAGUUACAAAUUAUGCUGCUUUCACUUAUAAGAAUCUCAAAGGAUGCAAUGGAAAUCGAUCAGUUGAUCAGUCAUUUUAUUAACAAAGAAGGUUCAGAGGGUGUAGUACUAUUUGGUCAUAGUACAGGCUGUCAGGAUAUUGUGCAUUAUAUGUGCACAAAUGCUGCUUGCUCUAGAGCAGUCCAUGCUGCCAUUUUGCAGGUAGUUUGUUUUCCAUAAUUUUCUUAUUUUAGAGUAAAAAGUUUAUAAGUAGGCAAUUGGAAUGUUCAUGCCCCGGUCAGUGAUCGUGAAUAUAGAGCAACUCUACCUGAAACACCUGCCAUGAUUGACUUAGCUUCUUCUAUGAUAAGUGAGGGUCGUGGGUCCGAAUUAAUGCCCAGGGAAGCAGAUCCAACUGCUCCAAUGACUGCCUAUAGGUGGGUAUACAGCCAGGCUUUGUGAUUUUGUCUUCCUAAAGUGAAAAAAUAUAAGUGGAAUUGGUUACUUUCAUUUUUAUGAAUGAUAUCUAUUAGGAAGAAUGGGAUAUUCAACAUCAAUAA